rnacentral:rRNA from 1 species
CCUACGGGUGGCUCCAGUGAGGAAUAUUGGUCAAUGGCCGGGAGGCUGAACCAGCCAAGUCGCGUGAGGGAAGACGGCCCUACGGGUUGUAAACCUCUGUCAGCAGGGAAGAACGGUCACUGUGCUAAUCAGCAGUGAAUUGACGGUACCUGCAAAGGAACCACCGGCUAACUCCGUGCCAGCAGCCGCGGUAAUACGGAGGGUGCGAGCGUUAAUCGGAAUUACUGGGCGUAAAGCGCUCGUAGGCGGUAUGUCAAGUCAAGGGUGAAAUCCCCGCGCCCAACGUGGGAACUGCCUUUGAAACUGGCAAACUGGAGUGUGUGAGAGGAUAGUGGAAUUCCAGGUGUAGGAGUGAAAUCCGUAGAUAUCUGGAGGAACAUCAGUGGCGAAGGCGACUAUCUGGCACAUAACUGACGCUGAGGAGCGAAAGCGUGGGUAGCAAACAGGAUUAGAUACCCCUGUAGUC